CGGUCGCAGAUCAAUCGACGCACGUGCGUCGAGCUCUCCCUGUCCCGAGUCGGUGCGGGAACUCGCCAGGAAAAUGUCGUGUGAUCGCGAAUUCCUCUCGGGCGGGGAAGAAACGUCGUUUCGAGACGUUUCAUAAAAGAGGCAUCAUAAAAAAUGGAAAAAUGUCCGGGUCGUAGCUGUGCUCUCCGUGAUUUUGUUUCCAGCGUUUCCAAGACUCCGCGGCCGGAAAACGCGAAGAAGCAACUGGCGCUGAAAAUGACAAGGGGCUGAAUUAAUUCGACCGAGAGACUGCAAAUGGGGCUGCAAAGACAGCAGAGAGCAGACGAGGGGUUCCCAUCCUGUUUCCUGUUUGCGUUUCGAUCCAAACUCAAGCGACUCACGUCGGUACGAACGGUAGCAGUCAAGUUCAUAAUGCUACAGGUGCCCACCGCGUAAACUUUGUGUGCGGAGUAUUCGAAGCGGAAUAUUCCGAAGCCUGUACUUUUGGCGUCGAGUCGACAUCAGUGCCGGUUUAUUUCCCACAAUGAGAUCGCUACGUCGAGAUUGUCGUAUCGUCGUAUCGGUCGUAGCACCCUAACGAUUCUUCGUCAAGAUAUACAUCUCGUAAUUUCGUGCUCGUGCAGUUAUCCAUCGCAGUCAAUCGGCACGAGAGCGAUCCGCUCCGUUACGAGCGCGCGCGCGCGCGUUGCAUUUUCGUCGCAUCCGUCCGUCACACAAGUGGACAGCGAUUACGAUUACGAUUACAAUUACGAUCGGUUGCUGCGUUGGUGCACGUUCAUCGAGAAUACAAUAUCAACAGGAUGCUCUCUUGUCGCGGCUGGGUCUCUUUGGCCGUUUCUCAGUGUAAAGUCGCGAGAUGCUUGUUGCCGCCGUUCCCUCGCGAUCGAUAUCUGUUAUCUCCCCCGAUCGAGGUAACACGCGCCGAUUUUCAACAGUUUUGCAAUUCGUAUUUCAAUUCGAUUCUUCAACUUUUAAUCGGAUAUUGGCAUGGAUCGUGUGUUCAGGUAUUUUGAUGUUGUACGAUCACUGGCGCGACGCGCAAGCGCUUUGCGAGAGAGAGAGAGAGCUGCUAUAUCAAUGCGAUGGUCCUGCUGACCAUCUUCGUCGGCAAGAUAGUCAAUACGAGAUUUGGAACCGCGAUUUGGAAGGUGAGCCCGCCGGAAAAUCCACCGGCGCUCGGUGUCUCAAUGCUUUGUAAUGCUUUAUUACCUCCGUCCGUGAGAUAAUUUCGUUUCGAUGCGACGCGACGCGACGAAUCGUAAUCUCUUUUUCUCUUUUAUGUCGUCGUCGUGUCGUUAUGCUCAGAUUCGACACUACUGUACGAGGCCAUAAUUGUACGACCGAUUGGAUUAUAUUCACGAGCGAGUCGGAAGUCCGAGUUCUCAGAGACUAUACCGUCGCGUCGCGACGAAAAUUUACGAUAUUGUACUCAAGUGAGUGUACGAGUAUCAGCAAGUGCGCUGAGUAAGUGUAACCAAGUAAAUUCUGCCGCUUACACGAGUAGGAAUAAGAAAGCAUCGGUCCGACGGUCGAUUUCGACGGAGAUAUACGCAAAGAGGGAUAAUCGUAUGAAUCCUCGUGACCUUGUAUUCAUCUCGAUAAUUUCAAAUAUAUCUAAAAGUUUAGAUCUCUCAGGCACAUAUCCCAUUCGUUUUUCAAAUCAAGUCUCGAGAGCAGCAUAUAUUGCUGCAUGGAUUAAAAAAAGUACAGAAUUGUCAAAUACAUCGAAUAUUACGAAACUUGCGACCUCAUCUGCGACCUCAUCGAUUAAACAUUGACAUUUGUCAAUCUAACGAUGCAAUCCGCGCAAUAUUACGUAAGAAAAAACGUGUAUAUACUUGAAAAAUAAUUUCGCGGCGCAAUUAUCGUGCAGCUUUAUGGCGAUGCUGUUUCCAUCGGCGCCAUUUAUUAAUAGCAAUCAUUCUGGAUAUCGUACGAUCUCUCAAUGAAUCACGUCCGCGAAUGUUCGCGGUCGUUACAAAGAUACGGCUGCUGGACCAGGACUACUAGUUCUACGUUCCGAUUCUUUGCUAUCGCACAUCAUCGGCGUCAUCGGAUUAGGCGCGAUCAGCAUCGUCAGUAUCGACGGUCAGUAUAUAUAUACGUUUCCUUCACCGCUCGCGCCUGCGGGCCUGCUAUUCACAAUCAUCAAGUACGUACACGUGUGUGUCGGUAAUUAAAUGUCGCGUCUCUGAGCCGUCAACUCUCGCGAGUACCUGAUUUUGCAGUAGACAACUCGGGGGGAUGACAUCGCGGCUAAACGACAACGAGACGAUCAACGAACGCGAUCAUCCUAACCAGCUAAAUUUGAUACGCCGAACGAACGAGCUUCAUACAACAGAUGCAUUGGAUGCUUGAAAAAGCAUCAGCUCGCCCUGGUAGGUUCACAUCAACAUGUUCAAUUCGGCGUAUCAAAUGAUCGCGCUGGUCUUUGUUGUUAUUGUCGAACGGUGCGACUAUAAGUGUGGUUGGAGUUCGAAUAGUUCACAUAUUAGACCAAACGAGGGAUACGAGGGUGAGAUUCAGCUUUAUAAUCGUGACGAUGCUGGCACAGCUCCUGAUUAUUCCGUAUGUUAUUCCAAGGACAAAAACUGAUGGACGAGAGCCAGGAAGAAGAAUUCUCUCUCAUUUGUUCUGUUAUCGAAUCGAAAUUUUCCAAUUGUUCAAACUUGAGUUCUUUCCGAG